UCAAGAAUUCAUCUAGUUUAGGAUAUUUCACCAUGAGAUGGACUCCAUCUGAAGAUGAUUAUAACGAGAGCCACCCCAUCUGUUUUGUUGUUCAGGCAAAUAUCAGCAGUUCUACGUAUCAGUCUGAGUUUCGAUGUGUAGUAGUGACAGUUGGAGACAGACCAACAGUGACUCCAACCACUGUCACAUCAACAACUACUAGAACCACCAAUGUCCUGCCCACCACUGUCACGUCCACCACUGUC